rnacentral:rRNA from 1 species
UGGCUCAGGACGAACGCUGGCGGUGUGCUUAACACAUGCAAGUCGUGCGACGAACCAGACUUCGGUCUGGGGCAAAGCGGCGAACGGGUGAGUAACACGUGGGUAAUCUGCCCCGAUGACUGGGACAACCCGAGGAAACUCGGGCUAAUACCGGAUGUGGUGCCUGGACUCAAGUCCGGUCACUAAAGGUAGCUUCGGCUUCCGCAUUGGGAGGGGCCCGCGGCCCAUUAGCUUGUUGGUGGGGUCAAGGCCUACCAAGGCAACGAUGGGUAGCUGGUCUGAGAGGACGAUCAGCCACACUGGGACUGAGACACGGCCCAGACUCCUACGGGAGGCAGCAGUGGGGAAUCUUGCGCAAUGCGCGAAAGCGUGACGCAGCAACACCGCGUGAGGGAAGACGGCCUUAGGGUUGUAAACCUCUUUCAGAUGGGACGAAGGUGAUGCGGUGAAUAGCCGAUGUCAUUGACGGUACCGUCAGAAGAAGCUCCGGCUAACUACGUG